UCUCAAAGGGCUCAGACGGUAAAGCGUCUGCCUACAAUGCGGGAGACCCAGGUUCAAUCCCUGGGUUGGGAG
rnacentral:tRNA from 1 species